rnacentral:rRNA from 1 species
UGCCACAGCCAUAUCACCCUGCAGCCCAAGACUGAUUACUCACUGAAGCAAAGCAGGGCUGAGCCUGGUCAGUACCUGGAUGGGAGACCACAUGGGAAAACUAGGUUGCUGUUGGAA